AGGGGCGUAGCUCGAACGGCUAGAGCGCUGGUCUCCAAAACCAGAGGUUGUGGGUUCGAAUCCCGCCGCCCCUGCCA
rnacentral:tRNA from 1 species